rnacentral:rRNA from 1 species
UACGGGGGGGGCAAGCGUUGUUCGGAAUUACUGGGCGUAAAGGGCUCGUAGGCGGCCAACUAAGUCAGGGUUGAAAUCCUGGAGCUCAACUCCAGAACUGCCUUUGAUACUGGCGAUCUCGAGUCCGGGAGAGGUGAGUGGAACUGCGAGUGUAGAGGUGAAAUUCGUAGAUAUUCGCAAGAACACCAGUGGCGAAGGCGGCUCACUGGCCCGGUACUGACGCUGAGGUGCGAAAGCGUGGGGAGCAAACAGG